rnacentral:rRNA from 1 species
GUAGGGUGCAAGCGUUAAUCGGAAUUACUGGGCGUAAAGCGUGCGCAGGCGGGCUUUGUAAGUCUGACGUGAAAUCCCCGGGGCUUAACCUGGGAAUUGCGUUGGAGACUGCAAGGCUGGAGUCUGGCAGAGGGGGUAGAAUUCCACGUGUAGCAGUGAAAUGCGUAGAGAUGUGGAGGAACACCGAUGGCGAAGGCAGCCCCCUGGGUCAAGACUGACGCUCAUGCACGAAAGCGUGGGGAGCAAACAGGAUUAGAUACCCUGGUAGUCCACGCCCUAAACGAUGUCUACUAGUUGUCGGGUCUUAAUUGACUUGGUAACGCAGCUAACGCGUGAAGUAGACCGCCUGGGGAGUACGGUCGCAAGAUUA